UCCGGUUUAACACCGGCAGUCUCGUUAGAGUGCCCGACAUGACUCGCUGGCAACUAACGAUAGGGGUUUCGCUCGUUAUGGGACUUAACCCGACACUUCACAGCACGAGCUGACGACAGCCAUGCAGCACCUAACUACAGGUUCUCCGAAGAGCACCCCGAUCUUUCGACCAGGCUCCUGUAUUUUCUAGCCCAGGUAAGGUUCUGCGCGUUGCGUCGAAUUGAACCACAUGCUCCACCGCUUGUGCGGGCUCCCGUCAAUUCCUUUGAGUUUCAACCUUGCGGUCGUACUCCCCAGGCGGGGUACUUCCUGCGUUAGCGCCGGCACCCAGAGGGUCGCUCCCCCAGGCACCUAGUACCCAUCGUUUACGGCGUGGACUAC
rnacentral:misc_RNA from 1 species